GAUGAACGCUGGCGGCGUGCCUAAUACAUGCAAGUCGAGCGAACAGACGAGGAGCUUGCUCCUCUGACGUUAGCGGCGGACGGGUGAGUAACACGUGGAUAACCUACCUAUAAGACUGGGAUAACUUCGGGAAACCGGAGCUAAUACCGGAUAACAUGUUGAACCGCAUGGUUCAACAGUGAAAGACGGUCUUGCUGUCACUUAUAGAUGGAUCCGCGCCGCAUUAGCUAGUUGGUAAGGUAACGGCUUACCAAGGCAACGAUGCGUAGCCGACCUGAGAGGGUGAUCGGCCACACUGGAACUGAGACACGGUCCAGACUCCUACGGGAGGCAGCAGUAGGGAAUCUUCCGCAAUGGGCGAAAGCCUGACGGAGCAACGCCGCGUGAGUGAAGAAGGUCUUCGGAUCGUAAAACUCUGUUAUUAGGGAAGAACAAAUGUGUAAGUAACUAUGCACGUCUUGACGGUACCUAAUCAGAAAGCCACGGCUAACUACG
rnacentral:rRNA from 1 species